CGUGUAGGCGGUCAAGUAAGUCAGAGGUGAAACCCACCGGCUCAACCGGUUGAACUGCCUUUGAAACUGCAUGACUUGAGUACGGGAGAGGAUAGCGGAAUUCCAGGUGUAGCGGUGAAAUGCGUAGAUAUCUGGAAGAACCACCGGUGGCGAAGGCGGCUAUCUGGCCCAGUACUGACGCUGAGGCGCGAAAGCCAGGGGAGCGAACG
rnacentral:rRNA from 1 species